GGUCAAGUUAUUAAGGGUGCAGGGCGGAUGCCUUGGCACUAGGAGCCGAUGAAGGACGUGAUAAGCUGCGAUAAGCUUCGGGGAGUUGCACGUAAACUUUGAUCCGAAGAUUUCCGAAUGAGGAAACUCACUUAGAGUAAUGUCUAAGUAUCAUUAAGUGAAUACAUAGCUUAAUGAGGGGAACUCAGGGAACUGAAACAUCUAAGUACCUGAAGGAAGAGAAAGAAAUUCGAUUCCGUAAGUAGCGGCGAGCGAACGCGGAUUAGCCCAAACCAAUAAAGUUUUCUUUGUUGGGGUUGCGGACAUAUCAUAACGAAGAGGUAUCGUAAUUGAAGAGGUUUGGAAAGACCCACCACAGAAGGUAAUAGUCCUGUAUGUUAAACGAGAAGACUUUAGAUAUGAUCCAGAGUACCACGGGACACGUGAAACCCUGUGGGAAGCAGGAGGGACCACCCUCCAAGGCUAAAUACUACCUAGUGACCGAUAGCGUAUAGUACCGUGAGGGAAAGGUGAAAAGAACCCCGGGAGGGGAGUGAAAUAGAACCUGAAACCCUGCACUUACAAGCUGUGGAAGCACAUUUCUUGUGUGACCGCGUACUUUUUGUAGAACGGGCCAACGAGUUACGUUAAGUAGCAAGGUUAAGCACUUAAGGUGCGGAGCCGUAGCGAAAGCGAGUUUUAACUGAGCGUUCAGUUACUUGACGUAGACCCGAAACCGGGCGACCUACCCAUGAGCAGGAUGAAGCGAAAGUAAAAUUUCGUGGAGGUCCGAACCCACGAGCGUUGAAAAGCUCGGGGAUGACUUGUGGGUAGCGGUGAAAUUCCAAUCGAGCCCGGAGAUAGCUGGUUCUCCCCGAAAUAGCUUUAGGGCUAGCCUCAAGGUGAGAGAUACGGAGGUAGAGCACUGAAUGUCCUAGGGGGUAUUGCACCUACCGAAGACUAUCAAACUCCGAAUGCCGUCAUCUUAUACUUGGGAGUCAGACUGUGGGUGAUAAGAUUCAUAGUCGAAAGGGCAACAGCCCAGAUCGUCAGCUAAGGUCCCUAAAUGUAAGUUAAGUGGUAAAGGAUGUGGGAUUGCACAGACAACCAGGAUGUUGGCUUAGAAGCAGCCACUCAUUCAAAGAGUGCGUAAUAGCUCACUGGUCGAGUGAUCCUGCGCCGAAGAUUUCCGGGGCUAAAACUUACUACCGAAGCUACGGCAUCAGUAAUGAUGGGUAGGGGAGCUUCCCAUACGGGUUGAAGCAUGACCGUAAGGACAUGUGGACAGUAUGGGAGUGAGAAUGUUGGCAUGAGUAGCGAGAUGUGGGUGAGAAUCCCACAGGCCGUAAACCCAAGGUUUCCAGGGGAAGGUUCGUCCGCCCUGGGUUAGUCGGGACCUAAGCUGAGGCCGAAAGGCGUAGGUGAUGGACAACAGGUUGAUAUUCCUGUAC
rnacentral:rRNA from 1 species